AGCAAAACAAUGUUUUUUGACUGCUUGAUGACCAUCAGGCUCCUUUACUUCUGUUCAUCAAUGUUGAGGCAGGAAGGUGAAGUUGGUCCAGUUCCCUCCAUCUUGGCCAGAAAUGGAAGCCCCCACUAGCAGAGGAUUUUAUAGGUUGGAAAAUGUCAAAAAAUAAAUAAAUAAAGUACAAGCCA
rnacentral:lncRNA from 12 species